AUUGAACGCUGGCGGCAGGCCUAACACAUGCAAGUCGAGCGGAUGACGGGAGCUUGCUCCUCGAUUCAGCGGCGGACGGGUGAGUAAUGCCUAGGAAUCUGCCUGGUAGUGGGGGACAACGUUUCGAAAGGAACGCUAAUACCGCAUACGUCCUACGGGAGAAAGCAGGGGACCUUCGGGCCUUGCGCUAUCAGAUGAGCCUAGGUCGGAUUAGCUAGUAGGUGAGGUAAUGGCUCACCUAGGCGACGAUCCGUAACUGGUCUGAGAGGAUGAUCAGUCACACUGGAACUGAGACACGGUCCAGACUCCUACGGGAGGCAGCAGUGGGGAAUAUUGGACAAUGGGCGAAAGCCUGAUCCAGCUAUGCCGCGUGUGUGAAGAAGGUCUUCGGAUUGUAAAGCACUUUAAGUUGGGAGGAAGGGCAGUAAGUUAAUACCUUGCUGUUUUGACGUUACCGACAGAAUAAGCACCGGCUAACUCUGUGCCAGCCGCCGCAGUAA
rnacentral:rRNA from 1 species